rnacentral:rRNA from 1 species
UUCCGGUUGCUUUUGCCGGACCCGACUGCUAUCAGAGUGGGACUAAGCCAUGCGAGUCAACGUAGCAAUACGUGGCAUACGGCUCAGUAACACGUAGUCAACAUGCCCAGGGGACGAGGAUAACCUCGGGAAACUGAGGAUAAACCUCGAUAGGCCAUGAUUUCUGGAAUGAUUCUUGGCUCAAACCUAUAUGGCCCCUGGAUUGGACUGCGGCCGAUCAGGCUGUUGGUGAGGUAAUGGCCCACCAAACCUAUUACCGGUACGGGCUCUGAGAGGAGGAGCCCGGAGAUGGGCACUGAGACAAGGGCCCAGGCCCUAUGGGGCGCAGCAGGCGCGAAACCUCUGCAAUAGGCGAAAGCCUGACAGGGUUACUCUGAGUGACUUUCGCUAAGAAAGUCUUUUGGCACCUCUAAAAAGGGUGCAGAAUAAGGGGUGGGCAAGUCUGGUGUCAGCCGCCGCGGUAAUACCAGCACCCCGAGUGGUCGGGACGAUUAUUGGGCCUAAAGCAUCCGUAGCCGGUUCUGCAAGUCCCCCGUUAAAUCCAGCUGCUCAACAGAUGGGCCGCGGAGGAUACUACAGAGCUAGGAGGCAGGAGAGGCAAGCGGUACUCAGUGGGUAGGGGUAAAAUCCGUUGAUCCAUUGAAGACCACCAGUGGCGAAGGCGGCUUGCCAGAAUGCGCUCGACGGUGAGGGAUGAAAGCUGGGGGAGCAAACCGGAUUAGAUACCCGGGUAGUCCCAGCCGUAAACGAUGCAGACUCGGUGAUGGGUUGGCUUCGCGCUAACCCAGUGCCGCAGGGAAGCCGUUAAGUCUGCCGCCUGGGUAGUACGGUCGCAAGACUGAAACUUAAAGGAAUUGGCGGGGGAGCA